rnacentral:rRNA from 1 species
CCUACGGGAGGCAGCAGUGAGGAAUAUUGGUCAAUGGACGAGAGUCUGAACCAGCCAAGUAGCGUGAAGGAUGACUGCCCUAUGGGUUGUAAACUUCUUUUAUAUGGGAAUAAAAUGUUCCACGUGUGGGAUUUUGUAUGUACCAUAUGAAUAAGGAUCGGCUAACUCCGUGCCAGCAGCCGCGGUAAUACGGAGGAUCCGAGCGUUAUCCGGAUUUAUUGGGUUUAAAGGGAGCGUAGGUGGAUUGUUAAGUCAGUUGUGAAAGUUUGCGGCUCAGCCGUAAAAUUGCAGUUGAAACUGGCAGUCUUGAGUACAGUAGAGGUGGGCGGAAUUCGUGGUGUAGCGGUGAAAUGCUUAGAUAUCACGAAGAACUCCGAGUGCGAAGGCAGUUCACUGGACUGCAACUGACACUGAGGCUCGAAAGUGUGGGUAUCAAACAGGAUUAGAUACCCGUGUAGUC